ACUGGGCAUAAGUGAAAACUCAUGCGUCCUGACUGCCACUGCUGAUUUAAGCUAUGUGUGACUGAUUUGUAGGGCAGGAUGUCAAAUGGCUUAACUCUCAACUCUUGUUGAAUUACAGAGCUUGACCUCAGAGGACGGUGGAGAUGAGGACAGACUGGUUGAGAGGAGAAGAGGUUGGGUAUGUACUAGGUCUACCAGCAGGAACUGCAAAGGGAGAUGGACCCCUGUGGUUGUGUUAAGAAGACGUCUAUUUGACUAUUGUACUGUACACUCCCCAUGUACACAUUCCACAGAGAGACAGCAAUCUCUGAGGACCUUAUCGGUCCAACCACUUAACCUAGGGGAUGGGAGAACAGUCUGUCUCUGUGUAAAUCUUCAAGAGAUAAACCUCAACUGCUUCCCUUUGUUUGAAGACGAGACACCUCACCAUGAGGGAGAUAGAGAUGAGAGAUUCCCUUUCAACACAAAACGGAAACAAACAGACAGAUGGCUUCCAGUUCCACAAUCCUGCUACGUGCUCCCUGGGUUUCGCCAUGAGGGACUCCUCUAAACUUUGAGUCAACCAUUGAUUGACUUGCUCUUUGUGGUUUAGGGGUGGGGUAAGUGUAAAGCAUUAUGUGAUAACUGCUGAUGAAAAAAAGGACAAUGAUUUUGAAUUUGAUUCAUUGAUUGAACCAUGCCUCAGUUCAGACCAGAGAUGGGCAGGUACCUGGGCAUCAAAAUAGCAUCUGCUAAAUCAGUGGUGAUGCGUCAUGUGGGGCAGGUGGGGCCGAGCCCUCCAAUAUCCAGGAGAUUUUCAUGCAAUUAUGUUAUUUAAUGUCACAACUAUAUAGCACAUCAGUUAGCGAAAUUGUAAAAAAAUUGUUAACUGCUUGAUCAAAUAAAGCAGAUGUGGUUGCUU